rnacentral:antisense_RNA from 1 species
UUUGAUCGAGCCGAGCCAGAGUGGUUGGUCGCGGUCCUGGCCGUAGGUGGCGAGGAGGGCUUGGGCUUC